ensembl:lncRNA
CCCACCACCAACCCUCCACCUCCACAUCCCCACCACCAACCCUCCACCUCCACACCCCCCACCACCAACUCUCUCCAGCCCCUAACCCUCCACCCCUGACACUGAUGGAUGGCCCCGGGGCCUUCACCAACGUGACCCUCCCAAUUUCCCAGGGACACACACAAACAGUGGACGGCCCGCCUGUCCGUCAGCCUCACAGACCCCGGCCAGAGCGCCAGGCUUGUUUUUGAGGGUCUUCGGCCCCCCCGGCACCUCAGAAUAUCCCAAUGCACCAACUAGUGCAGCACGCCUACUGUGUGUGUGUGUGUGUGUGUGUGUGUGUGUGUGUGUGUGUGUGUGUGUGUGUGUGUGUGUGUGUGUGUGUGUGUGUGUGUGUGUGUGGACAGCUCUAUCCCUUCUGUUACAAAUCAUCAGUGCCGCGCUAUUGUAGGCUGUAGUACUCAAAUUCACCUGACAGUGGCACUGUUGUCUUCUAAUUCUCACACUUUACUCCAGGGCAGGGGAUGAAACAUAAGCUUGCACACAUUCAGCAUAAACACACACCAACCCACACACACAGAGGCAUAGACACACACACACACACAGAGGCAUAGACACACAAACCCACACACACACACAGAGGCAUAGACACACACAAACCCACGCACACACACCUUUAAUCCUUAUUAAAAAGAGAUGUGCUUUUGGGCCUGGAGGUGGAACGCAGGGUGCUAGAGUGGAUGCCAAACUGAUAAGAGGUUAUCUGUUGUGUAUUUACACGGAUGGAAGGUCAGCCGCUCACAGGGCUAUCACCUGUGACUCUAAACAAAACACACACACACACACCACAUGCACGCAUGAGCACAUACACAAACACACACACACACACACACACACACACACAGAAAGUAUUUUUUUUGUGAAUAAAGCAGCAAUAGGCAACUCUACCACUUGCUGCCGCCAUAACCAUAACACCCACAGCACUAUGUUAAGCAGAACGGGGUAAGCAGCCCUGUGAGGGAGAGUCACUAUGGAGAUGGAGAAGGGUUACGAGACGGAGGCCAGUGGGCUGAGUUUAUUUGUGUUUGAAGUCUAAUCUCCCCUCCUUCACAUCCCGGCCCCCCCACCCUGAUUAAUGAUCCCGAUGAAGGCAGUGUGACAGUGUGCCAGGAGAUGGCAAGAAGACAGCAGAACCAGGAGGUGGGGGACGAGAGACAGCUAGAGAGAGAGAGGGACAGCGAGGGAGACGGAGAGGGAGUUACCAGGUUUAUUUGGACCUCCAGUUGAGGGCGAUUCCGAAGAAGACAGAGAGCGAGAGAAAGAGAGCAGGGAUGCAGCCCUGUGUUAGAGGAUAGAGGGGCGGGUGGGUGUGGGGAGAUGAUGUGUGCACGGUGUUCAGGGCCAGGGUGCUGACGGAGGAACCCUGACCUCCACUCGCCAGAAACAGCUUGACUCCAUCACCCAGAGCACAGAGGGCUCCUCGCCCGCUCUGCACGCCACUGCCGCACACCGCUGUGUGUGUGUGUGUGUGUGUGUGUGUGUGUGUGUCUCUGUGUGUUUUCCCGAGGUAAUGGAGUCAUCGAAUGGCUGCUCCUAAUGAAGCUCUUCGGAGGCCCGGCGCCGGCGAUGGGAAGUCAUUCAGGCGAUCGAUGUAACAGUAAUGUCUGUUUGCUUUUUGCUCUCCUGUUUCCUUUUUGGAGCCACCACUGUUCGUUAUUGUUAUUCAGACAGACAGACUGACAGAAGGGCAACGAAGAGGAAAGAUACAGAAAGAGUCGAGCAACUCGGCAUCGUCGUGGGAAACGUCAAAGUAGUUUUUACGGUGGUGGAGCAAAUGGCGUCAGUCAAGCGAGAUGGCCUGGCCGGUAGGGCGGGGUCAGGGUUCAACUUUCAGGUGGACCAGUUUAUGAAGACUUGCACUAAAACCCUGAACUAGGGGUGGUGUGAGUCCGAUGUCACCUGGUCACAAAUUCCCUGAUCUGUAAAUAUAUAGCCAUUAUUAUAUUUUCUCAAAAUGUCUGAGAAGCAUAAUUUAUAUUUAUUCAGGUUAUUUAUAAGGAUGUCUCGAAUAAAUUUGUCCAAUCAUGA